rnacentral:rRNA from 1 species
UACGGAGGGUGCGAGCGUUGUCCGGAAUCAUUGGGCGUAAAGGGCGCGUAGGUGGCGGGACAAGCGUGCGGUGAAAGCUCGGGGCUCAACCCCGCGUCGGCCGUGCGAACUGUUUUGCUUGAGCACUGUAGAGGCAGGCGGAAUUCCGGGUGUAGCGGUGGAAUGCGUAGAGAUCCGGAAGAACACCGGUGGCGAAGGCGGCCUGCUGGGCAGUAGCUGACACUGAGGCGCGACAGCGUGGGGGGCAAACAGG